rnacentral:tRNA from 1 species
GCGCUCGCCUCGGGAGGAGGACGCUGGUCUCCGACACCGGCUGUCGCUGGUUCGAGUCCAGCCGGGCGCACCA